UACGUAGGGGGCAAGCGUUGUUCGGAAUGACUGGGCGUAAAGGGUGCGUAGGCGGUGUAGCAAGUUAGAAGUGAAAUACCUAGAGCUUAACUCAGGUGCUGCUUCUAAAACUGCUAUACUUGAGUGCAGUAGAGGAAAGUGGAAUUCCUAGUGUAGCGGUGGAAUGCGUAGAUAUUAGGAGGAACAUCAGUGGCGAAGGCGACUUUCUGGACUGUAACUGACGCUGAGGCGCGAAAGUGUGGGGAGCAAACAGG
rnacentral:rRNA from 1 species